GGCGUGAAACUGAGAAAGAAUGGAGCAUUGCAUUGCGAAGAGCACAUCUACGCCUAAAGUAGAAACGUUUGCAGGAGAAAACUCCCUUACAAGCCUACACUCAACAGAAUGUCAUGGCCAGUGCCAAUGACAGGUGUAUAUUUUCGGUUCGUUUUUCCAGCUUUGUUCUCCAUAAAAAUGUGUCUACAGGCGAAUCUACAGCACUUUCUGAGGCGAAAUGUGUCCUAUGGGUGGCCUACUGUCGGAGCCAGUAUUCGUAAGCAGUACAGGGAUAUCGGACGAUGCUCACUGGAUCCGAAGAUGCACAGCCCCUCGCUGAGCGUCCGUAAAAAAUGCUACAUACAAGCCGAUCCGAUUGUUCUCCUCGAAAAUCAACCCGCUACCAAGAGCUACCAGAGGGGCUCAAGAAGUAAUGGGUCUUGUGCAACAUUCGGUGCCACUUUUGUUGAUACAAAUCAACUGAACAAUGACGAUACAAGCAUGGAUCAAUGGCACCAGUGCGCUGUUAGUAACUCCUCUAUUUUUGCCGUAACUAACCCGAACAAUGCGCUCGGCAAAAUGUUAAACCUCAGCACCGCCUGGAUUCUGCUGGGACAAUCAAGUACGGAGUGCUACAAGCAUCUCGGUAAUACCUGGCUCUACACUAGAAAUCAGUGUAGUAUGAAAAUGUUACAGGAAACUUACAUAAUGAAAAGAUUGUCUGCAGGACAAUCCGACAGCGCACUUCAACUCCUUGCUGAGCGAAUGAGCGGCAACAAUGUGAGGGACCUCAGCAACGUUAUCAUUUCCGGAUCACUUAUAUUGGUUCCGUGGUCACAUUUUAGCGGCAUUCGUUGGAGCUCCUCUACGGGAAAGGGUUCUGGGCGGGUUCUCUCACGUAUUACUUUAUACCCAGCGCCAGGAGAGCUUAUUACUGUCAAUAUUCGCACCUAUGAUGACUUCCUGUCUACGACAAGUUCUCUAAUAAAAGUCAAGGUAAGUUUUAGUUUGGCAGGAUUAAUUGUUUAAUGAAAUCCCGAAUUUCAAGUGGUGUGACGGUUU